CGCCAUGAUUAGUUGUGUCAUACACUUGGAUUACAACUGUUUGUGUACAAUUUUGAAUGGAUUAUUUAUCAUAACCAUGACAGUUACAACAUACGGAGGGAAAUAACUCCACUGAUGUCAUAUCAGUGGUGAGUGCAGACGGCAACUGGAGAAAAGGACGAGCAAGUUUACUCCAUCUCCUCGUGUCAUAACAGCAGUGAACGGCAACUGGAGGAAAGGAAAACGAAGCUAUCCUCGUCGCAUCAUGUCAAAAUAUCAGUGAACGCAGACGACAGCUGGAGAAAAGGAUAAAAAAUUUUUCUCCAUCUCCUCGUGUCAUAACAGCAGUGAACGGCAACUGGAGGAAAAGAAAAAGAAGACAAUGUCCGACUACAUUCACCCAAACCAUGGCUAUCCGAGUAUUGUCGAGACAGAUAAUGUGCCAAGUAUUCUGCAAAACAGCCAGGAAGAGACUAUAGGAGGGCAACACGCAUCAGUAACGACAUAUACAGAAUUUGAACGCCCUACAGAAAGGCAAGAUGUUACUGAUGAGGGUAACGAAAAUAGUGAACUUUCAAAUGAAAUAGUUGUGAAUGUAAACGGCAGGGAAUGUCAACAGGAGAGUAGUCAAGAUGGAACAACCGAAGCACUUGUUAUAAGUGGAUCGUUAACGGAGCAUCGGCGUGAAAGGACUGCUCAACGAAACCCGGUGGUUGCGCUUCCUGCACUAGUUAUAAGUGGAUCGUUAACGGAGCAUCGGCGUGAAAGGAUUGCUCAACGAAACCCGGUGGUUGCGCUUCCUGCACUAGCUACGGUUACGUCUAACGCCGAUGUGGGUUUUGGGAAAUAUGCAGACUACAGAAGACGCCUGAAGUCUUUCAAAGGCUAUGCGAAAAAGUGGCCACACCGGAAUCCUUCCGCGAAAGACAUGGCACGAGCAAACUUUAUUUUUAGAGGUUCUGAUCGUCAUCCCGAUGCGGUUCAGUGUUACUUAUGUGGAAAUACUUUCCAUACAAUACAAGAAACGGAUGUUCCGGACAAUCUUUGCAACUGUAACUUGUGAUUAAAUCGAGAAGGACAGAUGAAGCUGGAUUUGAGGUCGACAAAAAAGUUUAAAAAGAACUGUUCAACUCUAAAUACGAGAGGGUUUUGUGUUUAAAUAUUUAUUGAUUUGCUAAUAUCAUGUCAAUGAACUUUAAUUAUUCUGACUUUCAAUGUUAUAUUGAUUUGAUAAUUUGCUGAAAUGUUAUAUAUUUGAAGCACAUGAUAAUUUAUAUUAAAAAUAGAGUGGAUUGCGUAUUCUCUGUACUGUGCAAUCUUCCUUCGAAUAGUAACACAGUUAUAUCAUCUAAUAUCAUCAAAUUCAUUUCAAUAACUGGGACCGUAUAAUCAAGAACCCUCAGGGACGAACCUGUACAUAAGAUCUAUGUUCAACAGUGUAAACAAAAUUAAACAAGGUUGAACAUUUUCUGAUCAAUGCCUACCAAGGUAUGGUUCCGGACGGAUGGACGGACAGAAGGACAGACAGAAGGACGGACAGAAGGACGGACGGACGGAAUGACGGACGGAUGGACAACGCCAAAACAAUAUCCACCUCCCGAAACCUUCCUUUCGGCAGGGGAUAAAACAACUAAAUGUUAUUAUAUAUUUACAAAAGGCUCCAAGCGACGCAAUGUUUUAAGGGCCGGUUACAAUGCAAACGUCGUUUUAAGGACCAAAAUUAAAAAAAAAGUUUAAAAUAAUCAUUUUUUAAUAUUUUUUAGGUUCAAUAUUUAGCAAGUAUAAUUCAUAUAUCCGUUGCAACAUGUAAAGCUGUAGUAAGAAGUUGAGCAAUUAUUACGAAAUAAUAUUUUAUCAGAUUACAAAUCAAAAAGCAUUUGCGUUUUCCCGGAAAUGCCCAUAUGCAAAAUGAAUAUGUUUACGAGUCAAAUUUACCAGUACUACCUAAUCAACACUGUCUUGAGGUUUUGUGGUGAUUGCACAAUUUAAAAAAUCAGAUAUUCGCAUUUAUGUAUCCAGGAAAUGAAUUCCAUCCACUAUUUAUUAUUAUUUUUUGAAUAACUUUCUUAUUUGAAAAGAUAUCAUCAAGAACUCUCAGAACAUUGUUCGGCAUUUUGACACAAAAACAAAGUAAAAAUGUCAACAGACCUUUCCGAAAGAAUGUGAAUGCUUUUUUAUCCAAAAUCUUAUAAAAUCUUCUUUAGUAAAAUGUGUUUAACUACUUGCUACCCUAAUACAUGUCACUAAGAAUGUUUGUUUUACUCUCAAAAAAGAUCUUUCAUCAAAACUUGAUAAAACAUGAACUUUUAAAACGUUUAAAAUUUUGACCUUCCCCAUCCACUUUUGCACUGUGGAAGGCCCUUAAAUCCAUUAAUGUUUAAACUCAUGUAGGCUGAUGUCAGUGACUUAGUGCUUAGUUCAGGAUAAAAGGUUCAUGUACCAUGUUUUGCAUUUGGGGUUCGUAGAAGCCUCAGGCAACAGCCACUAUUGCCUAUAUAAAAUGAUGUCAGCUGAAAGACUUCAGGAAGUAAGGAUCUACAGAUAAAAAUCUCAUAUUAUGCCAAAAUUGAAAGCAUAGUUUUGUCGUUUUGUUGCGAUUUUCUUACCCUUUGCCAUUAAAAGAGCGCUUACCCUAAAGCAGCUCUUCUGAAAUUCAUUCAUUCAUGUCAUAUUUUUCAAAUGUUUAAAAAUUCAAUUGAACAUAUAGGUAUUUUUCAUGAUUUAGCCUUUUUGACCAUGUUGUGGAUAAUGCGUGUUUUAUAAGUAUUGUUUUAUGACUUAUGUAUGUGGGAUCAUAUUUCGAGAUGCAUCAAUAUCAUAUAUGAAGACCAAACUUAAUCAAAUUAUUAUGAUAGUACGUUUUGUAUUGAUGAUAUUUGAGCAUCAUAAGUCAAGAUACUCUCUUGGAUACAGAUUUUGACUUGCUUUUGAUAUAUUUCUUUUUAAAAAAGCAUUCUGUCUGUCAUCUCUGAAAAAAUAAGAUUUGACUUGUGUAUUGAUUGUUGUUGACUUGAUCAACACAACAUACUUACUAAGUGUUUUAAUAUUAUUUUUUAUUAUUAUAUUAAACCAUUUGUGAAUAUACGUUCUGUUUAUGCUUUGUUUGAUUUUAGUAUCACAUUGCACUUGUGACAAUACACAUGUAUUGCAUUACAAAUAAAGUUUUAAUAGGUUUAAUGUUUUAGUAUACACAUGUAGCUAAUUGUAAAGGAUGUGAUUUUGAAUUUGAUGUUUUAUUUAGAAAUAAUAGUUUGUUUGUAUCGAGCCCGUUCAAUGCAGAAACAUGGGAACGGGUCUCGUAUCUUCUCGGUUAUGUUUUACACUGAUCAAAAAUUAUUAGUGUGCAGACACAGCCCCUAAGAAAGUUGAUGAAACGGUCAAUGCUGUUGAAAUGAAUUGAUUGUAUCAAAUAUGAUUUUGUUUUAUUAAAUAGAAGAUUGUACAGUACAGUGAAUACCAAAUCCACUCUUUUAUUUGUGUUGUAAAAUAUCAUGUGCUACAGAUAUAUAACUUUCAUUAUCUUAUGAGAUCUGUACAUAUUUUUAUAAUACAAAACAAAACUGUGUAGUUGUUAUUUUAGAAUUUAAGGUUUAAAUACAUGAUGUGUUUAUCUUGUUUUCGAACGUGCUAUUUAGUUCAUAUUGAAUUAUGUACGAGUGCACUUCCAUGAAGUGUUUGUAAAAAAAUACUUUUAAUAACUUGAUGAUUGUAUCCAUUUAUAAAACGCUUAAAAUAAGGUACUUUCAAAAAAUCAGAUUAAAAGUUGACGUCGUCAGCAAAGUUAAGUCAUGAGGAGAAAAAGGUGACGUUUUCAUUUUGCCAGGUUUUCAUGCCUCGUAAGCCGGCAAUUAAGGCUACUUUUACAUUUUAAGGUUUUUAAUUUAACUGUAUGCACAACUAAACUUUUGUUCCGUAAUCCUAUUUCUUGGUUGUCAUUUUUGUUUAUUAAAGUCAAUACCACAAAUUUCAUUUUGCGAGAUAUCAUGCCUCAUAAGCAAUCAAUCAUAGCUUCUUUUGCAUGUUCUCGAACCGGUUUUAUAAUUUAAUACUAUGCAUAAUUAUACGUUUGGUAUGUUAUCAUAUCUCUUGCUUAGAAUUUGCUUUUCGUUUAAUAAUACUAACUUGUAUGUCUUAUCGUUUCUCAUCUUCGCAGAAUAUGUUACAUAUGCUAAUGCCAUGUGUUGUGAUAACUCAAUGCAUCUGUUUAACUCGUUGUGAGUUAAUAGAGGACUUUUUUCAUAACCAAUUUUGUUGUUUCACUAAGUUGUCAGCAUAUAAUAUUACUACUACACUUCAUGUGCAAAUCUUAGUAUGAUAUUGAAAAUGAAUAUAAGGUAUGACAGUAUUUAAUGGACAUUUUUUCUGUCUAUUUUAGUAUUGAAUUUCUUAGACGCUGAAAUAUGUUUUGUAUACUUUGCUUUUUAGAAAAUACCAUUGUUACUAUGUAAAAGAGAAAUAUUUUAAAUCAAAGUUGUUUUAUGAUACGAAGUUAUUUAUUGUUCAUGUGAGUUAAAUGUGAUGAUAGUAAAAUUUAGUCAUUGGUUUGGAUAUUAUACAGCUUAAAUUACUAA